GAAAAUUUCGUGAGAUUAGUUGUAUAGUUAUGUUAAAUCACUUUAUUUUCCAUAACAAAGUAAUUUUACUGUGUAUGAAGCCAAGUAAAUAUAAAAGGCACCUAUAAUUUAUAAAUAAAUUAUGCUUCAUAAGUUUGCUUUAUAUAGCAAGAAGAGAGCAGUGAUAGCUUUCUCUUUACCAGUAAUUCUAAAUUUAGUCAAAGUUCUUUCACGGUACAAGGGACAACACUAACAGAAAAAUAGGGGUAAUUUUUAUAGCUCAUCCCUAAACUUUCUCCUAUGUUUCACUUUCGUUCCUUAACUUUAAUUUGUAUUAAAAAAUCCCCUGAAUUUUAAUUUUGUUUGGC
rnacentral:misc_RNA from 1 species